ensembl:lncRNA
CGUCACGAGUCACGUGUCAAACCACGCCUCGGCACAGUGGCUCCAUACGUUUGCUUCAUGAGCUACAGCGCAUGUGUCGAAGCUUCCGGUAUCAGAGGACCAUCACUAUCUGGUAGCGUCUCUGGCUGCUGUUGACCUUGUUUUUGGUGUAAAACACGGUGGAAGCUGAAUUAGUGAGGAUGACUCCUGCUCCUGUCAUCUCUAAGCUCCUCACACAUCUUUACCUGCACAUGAGGAAAAUCACUCCUGUAGAAUGCAGAUGUUCAGAGGGAGAUGAUGCCACAUCUGGUCCAGCUGAUGGAAGGUCUUGAAGUUCUCUGACUGGCCUCGACUGAAGAUAGUCGUCUCACUGGAUUUAAGGUUCAGAUGCUCAGUAACAAACUCCACCAAUGAGCCAACAGGGAAGCUUUAGGUUUAUUAAAUGUUGCUAUGAAAGUUUCGCUGUUUUUCUUUGUGAAUGCAAUGUGCUCCAACUGAAACUUGAAUUAGAACUUAGAAGUAAAUCCUUCCAUCUGAAAGGAUUUAGUUGCAUUAAUAACCUCAUAACAUUCUAAUUUUUAUUCCAGUCUUAGUUGGAAAUAGAAUCUCUGUAUUGAUUCAGGUAAAAACUGAACUUCACAGCAUGUUGAAGCAAAACAACCAGAUGAAAACUGUGAUGGUGUUGGAUUGUCAGACCGUAUUGUUGCAGCUCAAAGCAGCUUUUCUAUCUCAGUUCAUUCUGACAUUCAGCUAUGAAUCAACACAGCAGAUGGUGAUCCAUGCUGUGGAAGUCUCACAUCUCCUGAUUUAAUGGAGCUGCUUUGCACUUUUUACACUGUUUAUUCACCAACACUUUAUUUAAUAAAAGUCCCAUCUAGUUUUUAUGAGGAAUGUGAUGUUUUAAUUUCUCUGUGAAUAACUGCAGUCUAAUGCAACAGCUGGAGUUGUAACAUCUGUCCUGAUAUUGAUCAUGAAGUAUUGAUCAGAAUACUUAUGGUUAGCAGUCAUCCCUGAAGUUUUACAUUAAAAUCUUUACUUGUGUUGUGAACUUUGGUAAGAAGCAGAAACGUUAGCGUUGCCAUGGAUACAUGAGUGUUAAAUUCUGUCCAUGUUUCCAUUUUGGGAAAUUCAGUCCAGUUCCAGAAUGUGGAGGAAUUUAGUCUCACAAUCACAGACAAUAAAUAUUAUCUGAAAGUCGGGUUAUUGUUGUUUAUCAGCACAAUAUAAAAAGAUUAAUGGUAGAAAUAUUCCAGUUAAGACUCUAGAAUAUCAUGAUUUAUGUAAAUUUACUUCAAUAAUAUGAAUGUUCAGGUUAAGAUUGUACAGUGAUAUUUAUUAUGUAAGUUUAGCUGAUUAAAGUUUAUGACUCUGCACUAAAACAUUAUUUAAAUUGACAUCAUUAUUAUAAUAUUUAGGGUCAGACCCUACAGUAUUGAGAUUAAGAAAUCAAAUAUUGUAUAAAAUGUAAAUACACUGAACUCAUUUGGAUAUAUUUAAGUGAGACUCUACAAUAGUAUUUGACACAAAUCUAUCUAAAUCAAAAUUUUAAUAAUUUUCACGCCAAACAUUUACUGGACUGAUUUAAACAUUAAAAUCACCCCUUUCUAAUCCUCUGCUGUACGUUCAAACCUGAGGCCUUAAAUAGAAACACACAAGUAUCUGAUUGAAGGAACUUCUGCAGAGUCCUGGUUCCAGAACAUGAUGAUAGAAUUAUAGACAAACUUUAACAAAAGCUGCCUGAGAGUUUACAGGUUUUUAUGUUGGAUUUCUUCAGUAAUUUAAUGAGAGUUAUCAGCAAUAAUCAAGUGUUCAUUUGAUGAACUUCAUUUCCUAAAACAUCCAGAAUUGGAGCUCAUAUCUUUGGCAGCUGUAAAGUUUCUGCUCCUUCAAAGUUCACAACACAAUGAAUGAAUUCCUAAAACACUCUCAAUGCUGGAGAGCGUUUGUGAUGCUGAAGCAGUGACCAGUUUUUCUGUUUCUUCUCUGGAGAUGCACAAUGAGGGACGUCUGCAGAGACUGAGAAAGAGUCUCACCACAUCCUGACAUGAGGAAAAAGACUUUAUUGAAGACUACAAUGAGAAAAACUAUCAGACAGCAGACAGCUGCAUUCAAGGUGAGCUCUGAACAUUUGAUCUGGAACAGGAAUUCAAUAACGGCAGCAUGAGCUUCAUUUCAGUCUGUAGCUGCUGAAUUCAUGGAUGAAUCAUCUGGCACUAGAGAAGAAGACCAUCAAACAUCCAUGUCAGCUGAUGGAGGUCCAAGAGUCUCACCAAACAAACAACCUACAGAGUGAAGACCUCAAAUCUGAUUGGACGGCCUCCUAUUCAGCCACGUGUGAACAAAUGCCUCUAAGCUGAUUUGUUUUCUAAAAUAAAUCUAGUUUGAGUCCUAAUCUAUGCCUGUGUGUUUGCUUCUUUACAUCGCUGUUAACAGUUUAGGCUAUUAGAUUGUUCCAGAUAAGACAAGUACAAGAUUCUUCAGAGCCGUUCUACUACGAGCCUGACAGGAAGAACUCCAACAGCUACUGAAUGUUCCUGUGGUUCCCUCAAGGCUACAGGAGGAGCCCUACGAGUACGAGCCGGUCCACCUGAUGGCGGCCAGUCGCUGUGGUUCAAAGCCAACACCGACUACGUGGACUUCUACUGGACCACACGGAGGCCUUCAAACCGGACCAACAAGUUCACCGACUCCCCGACUCGUGGGUCUGAGGACGCCGCCGAGCCUCGGUCCAGCCGGCCUCCUGUCUGUGGGUGUUUGAGUGCUGAGAGGUUUGUGGAUGCAUGUGAACGUGUCUGUGUUGAAACAGCAGCUUUUGACUCAGUAACGCUGGGAAAAACCAAGAGCUCCUUUAUUUGUGACUUCCACUAAAAAACUGAUGAAAAUAAGUUUGCCAGGGUUCUGACUGAUAACAGAUUAUUAAAUAAUGAAAAUAACUGUUUAAAUAUUCCUUUAAACAAUCCUUUUAGGUCUACAUUUCCUUUACACUGACUUCUUGGUAUUUUGGGUGGAAUAUAUCAUCAGACUAACCUCCAAGGUCUACAGUCGUGAAUUUUAUGUCGAAUGUACCAUUAAACUCACCUUUUAGGUCUACAUUGGAGGAUUUUAGGUGGAAUUCUCUUCCAAACUGUCUUUUAGUCUACAUUUAAGGAUGUUUAGGAUGGUAUAUUCUUCCGAACCAACUUCUCAGGUCUACAUUUCAGGUGGAAUAUUCCUCCAUACUAACUUUUUUGGUCUACACUGAAGGAUUUUUUCUAAACAACCCUUUCGGGUCUAUAUUUGAGGUUUUAGGUGGAAUAUUCCUUUUAACCAGCCCCUCAGGUCUCUUUGAGGAUUUUGGAUGGAAUACUCGGUUAAAGCAACAUUUUAGGUGCAUGUCCAAGGGUUUUUGGUAGAAUGUUCCUUUAAGGUGGAUGUUUGAGGACCUUGUAGGUGGAAUACUUCCUGAAACCAACCUUUUAGGUCAACAUUCAAAGAUUUAAGGUGGAAUAUUCCUUUAAACCAACCUAAAUUUCAUGUUUUGAUCGUUAUCAAGUGAGAAACCUCAAUCCAGACUCCUCAUAAUGACAUUUGAGAUUUAUGCUGCUGUUAUUUGUUUAGUCCAGACUAAAUGACAGAAAUCCACAACUGUAAUUUUAUUUCAGGACUCAGUUAUUAAAUUCAAUUCAAUUCAAUUUUAUUUAUAUAGCGCCAAUUACAGUCAAAUUGUCUCGAGACGCUUUACAGAACCAAUAUGCCUGACCUCCAGAGCAAGCCAAAAGGUGACAGUGGCAAGGAAAACACCCUUUUAACAGGGAAAAAAACCUCGAGCAGAACCCGGCUCUAAUGUGGGGGGACCCAUCUGCCUGCUGACCGGGCGGGUUGAGAGGGACAGAAGAGGUAGAGGGGAAGACAAAACAAUCCAUGUGACUCUAAAAACUAAACAGCUGUACAAACUCUAAGAUUAAACUCUCCACAAGGAGCCAAAAUAAGUUGGACUUCUACAUGAGAGCUUUAAUUAUUCUUCAUCUACUUCCUGAAAAAUUUGGUCAAUAAAAAAGGCAAAAACUAAUAUUUUCAGCUGAACGAAAGACAGACUGUGAUUUUUCUGCUCACAUGUGUUGUUGUAAACUUGCUCUUUCAAAUAAAUAGCCGCCUAACCCCCUGGAAACCAGCGUUUGUCCUGUUUUUGUGUUGCUCCUCAGUGACCCUAGACAGCCGGGUCGUAAUGUUUUUUGAGCAACACACCAUACUAUGACGUUUUUACAAUGAUGGUUCUACUAUGAAACCAGUUUGACAUGUUCAGG